rnacentral:tRNA from 1 species
GGACACUUAAGUUAGUUAAACUAGAAGCCUUCAAAGCUUCAAACAGGGACUAAGCCCCCUAGUUUCCG